CAUCUCACCCUUUGUGCAUCACCGCGUGGGCACCCUUUGGGAUCGGACCGAUCUCAGAAGGGGGCUCACGUUUUCACACAAACCCCCCCAUCUAAAAGUGUAGAAUGUCCUCAUUUAUGCAAUAAAUACAACUUUCAACAACGGAUCUCUUGGCUCUCGCAUCGAUGAAGAACGCAGCGAAAUGCGAUACGUAAUGUGAAUUGCAGAAUUCAGUGAAUCAUCGAAUCUUUGAACGCACCUUGCGCCCCUUGGUAUUCCGAGGGGCACACCCGUUUGAGUGUCGUGAAAAUCUCAACCUCCUUGGUUUCUUCUAGAGACCGAUGGGGGCUUGGACAUUGGAGGGCCUUUGCUGGUGUCUCUCUUGAAGGCCCAGCUCCUCUUAAAUGAAUUAGCAGGGUCCUCUUUGCCGAUCCUCGACAUGUGAUAAGAUGUUUCCGUGUCUUGGUCUCUGGCUCUGUUGCUUUUGGGACCCGCUUCUAAUCGUCUCAACCUUGCAUCGAGACAAACGUCU
rnacentral:misc_RNA from 1 species